rnacentral:snRNA from 1 species
GUGCUCACUUUGGCAGCACAUAUACUAAAAGUAGAAUGAUACAGAGAAGAUUAGCAUGGCCCCUGUGCAAGGAUGACAGGCAAAUUUGUGCAGUGGCCCAUAUUUUU